rnacentral:rRNA from 1 species
GACGAACGCUGGCGGCGUGCCUAAUACAUGCAAGUCGAGCGAUGAAGCUUGGUGCUUGCACCGAUUUGAAGAGCAGCGGACGGGUGAGUAACGAGUGGGGAGUCUGCCUUUGAGCGGGGGACAACAUUUGGAAACGAAUGUUCAUACCGCAUAACAACAUUAAACAUAAGUUUUAAGUUUGAAAGAUGCAAUUGCAUCACUCAAGGAUGAUACCGCGUUGUUUUAGCUAGAUGGUGCGGCAAAGGCUCACCAAGGCGAUGAUACAUAGCCGACCUGCGAGGGUGGGUGGCCAGCCUGGGAGGGUGACAGGGCCCAAAGGGCUUCGGGAGGGAGCAGUAGGGCAUCUUGGGCAAGCGACGAAAGUCUGAGCGAGCAACGCCGCGUGCGUGUAGAAGGUUUUCGGGUCGGAAAACUCGGUUUGUAGAGAAGAAAGCUGGUGAGGGUGGAAAGCACAUAAAGUGACGGUAACUACACAGAAAGCGACGGCUAACUACGUG